rnacentral:rRNA from 1 species
GGCCCAGCUUGCUGGGUACUCGAGUGGCGAACGGGUGAGUAACACGGUGGGUGAUCUCGCCCCUAAACGUUCGGGAUAAGCCGUAGGGAAACUGGGUCUAAUACCGGAUAUGACCUGCUCCUGCAGUGGGGGUUGGUGGAAAGCUUUUGCGGUUUGGGAUGGGCCCGCGGCCUAUCAGCUUGUUGGUGGGGGUAAUGGCCUACCAAGGCGACGACGGGUAGCCGACCUGAGAGGGUGAUCGGCCACACUGGGACUGAGACACGGCCCAGACUCCUACGGGAGGCAGCAGUGGGGAAUAUUGCACAAUAGGCGCAAGCCUGAUGCAGCGACGCCGCGUGAGGGAUGACGGCCUUCGGGUUGUAAACCUCUUUCGCCAGGGACGAAGCGCAAGUGACGGUACCUGGAGAAGAAGCACCGGCCAACUACGUG